rnacentral:rRNA from 1 species
GACGAACGCUGGCGGCGUGCCUAAUACAUGCAAGUCGAACGCUGAAGGAGGAGCUUGCUUCUCUGGAUGAGUUGCGAACGGGUGAGUAACGCGUAGGUAACCUGCCUGGUAGCGGGGGAUAACUAUUGGAAACGAUAGCUAAUACCGCAUAAGAGUAGAUGUUGCAUGACAUUUGCUUAAAAGGUGCAAUUGCAUCACUACCAGAUGGACCUGCGUUGUAUUAGCUAGUUGGUGGGGUAACGGCUCACCAAGGCGACGAUACAUAGCCGACCUGAGAGGGGGAUCGGCCACACUGGGACUGAGACACGGCCCAGACUCCUACGGGAGGCAGCAGUAGGGAAUCUUCGGCAAUGGACGGAAGUCUGACCGAGCAACGCCGCGUGAGUGAAGAAGGAUGUCGGAUCGUAAAGCUCGGUUGUAAGAGAAGAACGAGUGUGAGAGUGGAAAGUUCACACUGUGACGGUAUCUUACCAGAAAGGGACGGCUAACUACGUG